AUGGAACCCAAAUCAAAUGCACCUACAUAUCAAUCAAAAAGAAAUGUUAGCUGUACAGAAUGCUCUGUCAGCCUUCAAGGACUACAUUCUCCCAGGACAACUAAUGGUAAAGACAGACAACACCACGGUCAUGUGGUACAUAAACAAGCAGGGAGG